GGCGAGGAGUCCGACUGCCUGACAGAGUACGAGGAGGAGCUCGGCCCCGAGUGCUCCCGGGAUGAGGGCGGCUCCCCGAGGGCGCCAGCCCGGGCGCCGACGCCGAGCCGGAGGACGACGCGGCGAGGACACUCCGGCAGCGGCGCUUCCCGCCCCAGGACGCCGGGGGACCCUGAGCGCACACGCGUGACCCACGCGUGACCCCUGCACCGACGACCUCUGACCUCCCCCUCCCCCCCACCGAAACGCACAACCUCGCACGCGACCCCGGCGCUCGCUCGCCCGCUCGCUCGCUCCGGGAGGCGGAGGCCGGGGAGUGGCCGCGAGUGCGAGCCCGCGGGGACCCGGGACCAGGAAACCAAUAAAACGGGAAAAGAUCCCGGAGCG